UCUUCCAUGACUGCCCAAGAGGACAUCUCCCUAAAAAAAGACAUCUCCCUCUGCCCUAGCAGAUUCCACCCCUCCACCAAUCUUGCCCCAGCGAGGCAUCGAUGUGCCGUGGAGGGAUCCCUAGCGCCGCUCCUCCUCCUCUCCAGUUUCCACACCGGGAUUCCUUCUAAUAAAGAUCCAAGCAGUAUCUUCUUGAUUCCCUUCCUCUCCAACCAUUGAAUCGCCUCUGCCCCAAAGGUACGUUAUGAUAUCCAAGUGAUUGGAAAUCUGAAAUCAAUCCUUCCUCUCUGGCUCACCCUAAUAUCUUUCUUUGUAACCUUUGAAUCUCCUUAGCUUCCAUGUCCUAAGUACGCUGCAAUCAUGCAUCUAUUUUUGAUCUUACAUGAAUAUAUCCCGUGAUGAAUAUUGUUUGAUGGGAGAGCCAUACCGAUGGUAGUUUGAAUUAAUUUAGUUGGCCACCACCAUGGACGAUACUAGGCAUUCCACAUGCCCUCGAGGCAAGAUGCCCACCAGAAUGAACCCCAUGCUACAGUUAUAUUGAUUGAGGUGGACAAGCCUGAAAAGUUUAGGGAAGCUUCAAGGUACAGGUAGAUGUAUGUUGCCUAUGUACAAUCCUAUAGUUUAUUUUAUUUGCAAAUUGUGCAUAGUGAUAAAUUUCUACAAGAAGAUGCAAAAUAAUUGAUCGCAUAUAGCCUACAUGCGAACAUACAUGUCCUAGAUCUGUUUAUAAUAAUUUCGUAUUACUGAGAUUUUAUCAUGCUAUUAAGUAGUGCCCUAGCAGGAAACAUACUGUUGCUGCAAAUUUUCUUUUGGCAUGCAAGGGCUGAAGUCUGUUGAAUUCAGGUACUGUUGCUGCCAUUUUUCUUCAUCUAAUUUUCUAUACUAUUUUUCAAAAUGAUACAAUGGAAUUUCAUUAUGUGGUUGCAACCAUGAUAGUAAACUAUCAUAAAAGUUGGGAUAGAAAUGACAUCACUGCUCACAUAACUCAGACUAAAUUCGCUUCUCAUGUUAUUUGAUAGUGUGAUUUUUAUCAUAGUGAACACCACCACCACUGCUUGGCCACUUCACCACCUACCUCUAGCCGUUCAGUAACCUACAGGUCAUGCUUUGCAAAUUAUCAGCCUUCGUCGGUUGGUUAUUUGUUGUUUAUUUUGCUCACCAUUAUUUCCAUGUUAUUAAUUGGAGAAAGUAUGAUGUAUCGCUUAUCCAUACUGUUGGUGUAGCCCAGACAACGGUCUGUGAUGCAGGAUCCUUGGUUUUCGAAUGAUUGAUCUCCAUGUAAUUCAAAUUUAUGGUGGCAUAAUACGCAUUGAUAUUAACACAUUUCCUCAACUAAGUUUAUGAUUGUCUUCAGUCCCUACAAUAAUUUAUAGUGCAGGCCGCAGAUAUGGUUAGUGCAAUUCCAACUCCAUAGAGAACUUACUGUAAAUGACCGAUUCCGUGGCAUACUCAAUCCAGAGGUUUUGCUUUUUCUUCAGUCAUCCAUACCUCAAACCUGAUAGUGCUUACUAAUUUCGCAAAUAUCUGGUGCAUGUACAUCCCUUCAUAUGAAACCUAUAAAUUACUUUCUUUUAGGAAAUACUCUAAUGGCAGAGAUUUAUUCUUUGUUAAUGGCAUGACUAAUUUGGAUUACUCUUAUAUUUAUUUUCUCUAUCGUGAAUUUUUCGCAGGUACGAGUAAAUAUUGGUUCUUUGACAUUGAUCCUUAAAUUUAAUAGUACUAAUUCAAAAGAUGGGUGCAUAACGAUAUCAUCGGAUUAAUCAAGAUUACAAACUACUUUUUCAUUUGGGUAUGGACGUGGGUGGUAUCAUUUUCACAGGAGCAGCGACUGGACAUGCAUCAAUAACUCACAUGCUACUACAAUGGACGACUCUACAACAUUUUAUUUUAGAUGUACAACAAUAGAAGGGAAAUGUGCAUGUAGACGAUCAUGUGUUUGACGAUCAUACUUCUAAGUCCUUACUAUAACAACAAGAAGUUAAUCAGCAUGAUGUACUUAUGUUGUUGUGAUCAAACAUGUUGUCAUGUUUUAAAUGCCAUCUAAUGCAACUUGAGACCACAUGCUCUGUUUUGCAAAUUAAAGCUGAAUUAACUAUGAUAUGACAUAAUUUCAUCUCUUCUUCUCA